UUUGUGAAUUUUUCUGUACAUAGUCAGCGUAGAUAUGUGUUGUGCAUGUCCUUUACUUGUGUCUGAAUGCUAAUUGGUGUACAUAUUUGUAGAUAGAGGAAAUCGUUGAAACUCAGGAGAGGCUGACAACUAGACGCAGGUCCUCAGUCAAACAGUUUGAAACACAAUUUGAGGAAAAUGAAGACAGUAAGUCAGGAACACAAUCUCGCAGAACAUCGACAACAAAACCCGAAACAAAACCCCAAGAGGAAGCUAAAAAACCCUUAGAAAACCCUAAACCUAGCGAACCCAAGCAGCCAGAAAAGAAACCAACCCUUGAGAAACCUGAGGAGAAACCGAAAUCAACUCUCGGUCUGAAAAAACCAUCAGUCAAGGAACCUGUAAAGAAACCAGAUGCCCCUGAAACAAAAGUUGAUUCCGCUGAGGUUGACGAUGAGGAAACAGCUAGUAGUAGAUCAGACGGGAGCUCUGAAGAGGAAGAAGAUACUUUCGAUGAGUCAGACAAUACGUUUAGCUGGAAGGUAAGAAGCGGGUGUUCGCCAGCGUCUGUCCUCUUGUCCGCUGCCAAAUCUUCAUUGUGCCGUCCUCAAAUUUAGUACUUUGCUUCUUCUUCUUCUUCUUCUUCUCUAUUUUCUAAAUUUAAUCAACUCUGUGAUUGAAUGCUUUGGGAUAAAGAAAGGGCAUAGAAUAGGGCAUCUGAAUAAUACCUAGUCUUGCUCAAGAAGUUUAAAAGCCAAAGUUUUUACAUAUUC
rnacentral:lncRNA from 1 species